AGAGUCGCCCUGAGUCUAAACGUAAGAGAGAGACAGAGAGACAGAGAGAGAAAAGGAACCGUCUUCGUUAAGGUCAAAUUUCCUCAACUACCAACUAAACCGUAACGCCGGAGUUCUCCGCCGCCGUGUACGGCGAAUCCCGACGCUUCUCGAUCUUAUGCUAUAUUCGAUCGCCUGCGUUCCGCGACUCUCGUCGGCGCGGACGGAAGUCCCGGUAACUCACCGGUAUCGCCUCGUUGAUUAUUAUGAAGAACCAGGGCAAGGACAACGGUUGCAAGAGCAAUGGAUUCGUUCCUUCUUCGUUCAAGUUCAUAUCGUCGUGCAUUAAGACCGCCUCCUCUGGCUUCCGCUCUGCCGGCGCCUCCGUCGCCGCCUCCAUCUCCGGCGACGGACACGACCGCAAAGACCAGGUGCUUUGGGCUUGCUUUGACAGGCUAGAAGUUGGUCCGUCUUCUUUCAAACACGUUCUCUUACUUGGUUAUUCCAAUGGCUUUCAAGUUCUUGAUGUGGAAGAUGCCUCUAAUGUCAGGGAACUUGUCUCGAAACGUGAUGAUCCAGUUUCAUUUUUACAGAUGCAGCCUGUCCCUGCAAAAUCAGAGGGAUGUGAAGGAUUCAGAGAAUCACAUCCUUUACUCUUGGUUGUUGCAUGCGAUAAAUCAAAGAUCCCUGGUAAAAUGCUAAAUGUCAGAGACGUCCAUAAUGAAGCUCAAGCUGAAAAUAUUGUCAGCUCAGCUACAGCUGUUCGAUUUUACUCACUAAGGUCCCAUACUUAUGUUCAUGCUCUGAGAUUCCGUUCAACUGUGUACAUGGUUAGAUGCAGUCCUCAAAUUGUGGCCGUGGGUCUUGCUACUCAAAUAUAUUGUUUUGAUGCUCUAACUCUUGAGAAUAAAUUCAGUGUUCUCACUUACCCUGUACCUCAGCUGGGGGCCCAAGGAAUGGUUGGGGUUAAUAUUGGCUAUGGUCCUAUGGCUGUAGGGCCCCGGUGGUUAGCUUAUGCCUCCAACAGCCCAUUGUUGUUAAGCACAGGUCGCUUGAGUCCUCAGAAUCUUACUCCUCCUACUGUCAGCCCAUCAACAUCACCCAGCAGUGGAAGCCUAGUAGCCCGAUAUGCCAUGGAAUCUAGUAAGCACUUGGCUGCUGGGCUGAUCAAUCUUAGUGAUAUGGGAUACAAAACACUGUCUAAAUACUAUCAAGAUCUUAUACCUGAUGGAUCCAGUUCUCCUGUAUCGUCAAACUCAAGCUGGAAAGUUAAUCGAUUUACAUCAAAUUCUACAGAAAUAGAUACAGCUGGGAUGGUUGUUGUCAAGGAUUUUGUUUCCAGAGCUGUUCUGGCACAAUUUAGGGCCCAUACUAGUCCAAUAUCUGCAUUGUGUUUUGACCCAAGUGGGACACUUUUAGUUACAGCCUCAAUUCAUGGUAACAAUAUUAAUAUAUUUCGAAUUAUGCCAUCCUGCACCAGAAAUGGAUCAAGUUCACAAACCAGUGAUUGGAGCUGUUCACAUGUGCACCUUUACAAGCUCCACCGUGGCAUGACAUCAGCUGUAAUACAAGAUAUUUGUUUUAGCCAUUACAGUCAGUGGGUUGCCAUCAUUUCCUCGAAGGGAACUUGUCAUAUUUUUGUUCUUGCCCCUUUUGGUGGUGAGACAGUUCUUAUGCACAAUCAGGACACAGAAGGGCCUGCUCUUUUGCCAAUUUUUCCUCUACCAUGGUGGUUCACUCCACAUUUCACAGUAAACCAGCAGCAGUUUUGCCUGACACCCCCACCUCCUGUUGUUCUUUCGGUGGUUAGCAGAAUUAAAAAUAGCAGUGCUGGAUGGCUCAAUACGGUUAGUAAUGCUGCAUCUUCUGCGGCAGGGAAAGUCUCAAUUCCAUCCGGUGCUGUUUCUGCUGUGUUUCAUAGUUCCAUUCCUCAUGAUUCACACAAUGCGUACUCAAAAUUUCAUGCUAUGGAGCACUUAUUGGUUUAUACUCCGUCUGGUCAUUUAAUUCAAUAUAAACUACUACCAUCAUUGGUGGCAGAGCCAAGUGAAACUGCAUCAAGAACAGCCCCAGUUCCUUCAGCACAGAUACAAGAAGAAGAUUUGCGUGUGAAGGUUGAACCUGUUCAAUGGUGGGAUGUUUGUAGGAGAUCUGAUUGGCCAGAAAAAGACGUGUGCAUAUCAGGAAAUACUGUUGGUGGAUUGGAAACUGCAGAAAUGAUCUUGGAUAGUUCAGAUUAUGAGGAUAAUAGUGUCGGGAACAAUAAUUCUAUAAAACUAAAUAAGCAAUGUCACUUCUCAAAUGCAGAGGUUCAUAUAAGCUCUGGGAGGAUAGCUGUUUGGCAGGAGUCUAAGGUGUCUUUCUUUGUGAUGAGUCCCUUGGAGGCUGGAGAGCGGCAUUUAUGUGAACUUAGUGCCACUGGAGAGAUUGAAAUAGAGAAUAUUCCUGUUAAUGAGGUUGAAAUAAGACAGAAGGAUCUGUUGCCCAUCUUCAACCAUUUCCAUAGAACUCAGUCUACUUGGGGUGACAGGGCUAUCUUUAUGGGAAGAUGCUCUAGCUCCUCAUCUGAUUCUCAUGGAACUGAAGAGAAGUUGUCAGAAGAUGCUGCAAUAUCCCAUUCUAAGUUGAUGGUACCUGGCUUAGCUGACAAGGCAUGUGUUGACUUGUCAGCAAAUUUUUCUUCGUCGAUUAACUUGUCUAAUAAGUAGAUUAAUUGCAAGAACAGAGAGGUAGCUGUGUCAGCUUCACCUCUUUUAAUUCUUGAAACUGUUAACACAUGAUGUUUCAGCAGGUGCCUCACAUUUUGCUGAUGGUAUAACUGCAAGUGCAAAGGUUAAAUCAUCUUCAAAACAUGAAAAAGCCAGUGACAGUUUCAAUUCAAGUUUUAGUGGUUGUGAUUUGAAUACGAAUGUUAAUUGUGAGGAGACAAUGCGUGAUUCACCAGACUUUGAGCAAUUUUUUCAAGAAGGUUAUUGUAAGCAAUCAGUUGACUGUCAUGAAUCAACAGAAGUUACUACUGAUGUGGAUUGUAGCAGUCCCUGUGGCAGGGAGAAAUCUGAUGAAGAUGGUGAUAAUGAUGACAUGCUUGGUGACGUAUUUGACUUCUCUGAGGAAGGUUGAUCACUACUAUUUUAUUUUAUGCUUGCCUCCCUCUCUUCGAAUUGCUGUAAAUUGGUGGUGUAAAGGAAAAAUGAAUUGACAAGUACAAGUGAUUUGCAACAAGCUAAAUGCUACUGACCAUUGAUUCAAGGAAUUUAAUGUUCUUCACUCUCAACAUCCCUUCCCAGUCCAAUGAUUCUUCUGACCUGAUUUCAUGUAAAUGAUGUAUAUUGAAAUUCAUAACUACAAAUUAUUUGUGUGGGCACUGGGUGGGUUCUUUAUAUGUAUGUAUUAUAUUCUUUCAUCAUAGUUCAUAGCUUUGGAGGCAAAGGGAAUGGAUCUAAGAGAAGGGGGGAAGGGAGGGGGCAGAUAGCUUGCUUGUUUUAUUCUGCUCUCUUUUGUACUCAUUCACGCAGGAUUAUUUAUAUUUCCCGUGACUCGCUUGCUGAAUUGAAGAUAUUCAUUUGCCCAUUGGAAAAAAUAGUAUCCAGAAAAGUAUGGACUUCAAAAUGAUUAUGCCAUUUCCUAUUAUAUUCUUGACUCCUUUAUGACUAGAGAGCAAAGUACAUAUAACUAGCAUAUUAACUCUACCAGAUUACAUGGCUUUUAAAUUCAAAUAAUUUUCCAAAAAAAAAA